rnacentral:rRNA from 1 species
UACGUAGGGGGCGAGCGUUGUCCGGAUUUAUUGGGCGUAAAACGCUUGUAGGUGGCUACGUCAAGUCGGACGUGAAAUCUCCCGGCUUAACUGGGAGGGGUCGCUCGAUACUGGCGAGCUCGAGGCAGGUAGGGGGAAGCGGAACUCCCGGUGUAGUGGUGGAAUGCGUAGAUAUCGGGAGGAACACCAGUGGCGAAGGCGGCUUCCUGGACCUGUUCUGACACUGAGGAGCGAAAGCGUGGGGAGCGAUCCGG